UAGGGAAUCUUCGGCAAUGGGGGCAACCCUGACCGAGCAACGCCGCGUGAGUGAAGUAGGUUUUCGGAUCGUAAAGCUCUGUUGUAAGAGAAGAACGUGUGUGAGAGUGGAAAGUUCACACAGUGACGGCAACUUACCAGAAAGGGACGGCUAACUACGUGCCAGCAGCCGCGGUAAUACGUAGGUCCCGAGCGUUGUCCGGAUUUAUUGGGCGUAAAGCGAGCGCAGGCGGUUUAAUAAGUCUGAAGUUAAAGGCAGUGGCUUAACCAUUGUUCGCUUUGGAAACUGUUAAACUUGAGUGCAGAAGGGGAGAGUGGAAUUCCCUGUGUAGCGGUGAAAUGCGUAGAUAUAUGGAGGAACACCGGUGGCGAAAGCGGCUCUCUGGUCUGUAACUGACGCUGAGGCUCGAAAGCGUGGGGAGCAAACAGG
rnacentral:rRNA from 1 species